GGACGAACGCUGGCGGCGCGCCUAACACAUGCAAGUCGAACGAGCGAGAGAGAGCUUGCUUCUUGAGCGAGUGGCGAACGGGUGAGUAACGCGUGAGGAACCUGCCUCAAAGAGGGGGACAACAGUUGGAAACGACUGCUAAUACCGCAUAAGCCCACGACCCGGCAUCGGGUAGAGGGAAAAGGAGCAAUCCGCUUUGAGAUGGCCUCGCGUCCGAUUAGCUAGUUGGUGAGGUAAUGGCCCACCAAGGCGACGAUCGGUAGCCGGACUGAGAGGUUGAACGGCCACAUUGGGACUGAGACACGGCCCAGACUCCUACGGGAGGCAGCAGUGGGGAAUAUUGCACAAUGGGGGAAACCCUGAUGCAGCGACGCCGCGUGGAGGAAGAAGGUCUUCGGAUUGUAAACUCCUGUUGUUGAGGAAGAUAAUGACGGUACUCAACAAGGAAGUGACGGCUAACUACGUG
rnacentral:rRNA from 1 species